UACUCUGAGAGACCUUUGUAGUCCAAACAACUCAAGGAUGACGAAGUGGAGAACUCAAAAUGAUCCGUUGUGGGAUGCAUUAAUACACACAACUAAUUUUUCCCCAGCAUCAGAACCUCAAAGAAGUGCCUGGUUAAAUUUUUCAUGACACAUCUGGGGGCAAAAUCCUGCGCGUCUGUGUGAGGACGAGUGUUCCAGAAAUCUCAGUAUAUUGUCACUACAGAGAAGGAUUUGCCGAAAGACUUAGUUUCAUUGAGGUUUCAGUUCCUUCAAUGUAUGGAAACGACGGACAAAGUAAAGCGAUGGAGGAUGCUGCAUAAAGCAGCUCAAGGAGUGCAAUGCCCAAGGUUUUGUGAUCAGUUGGGAGAUAGGAAGACUCGUGACCAUCGGAUGUACUACUUUUGUAAGAGCAGCAUUGCGGUGACAUUACGACACUAAAUUCAAACGUUAUCCUCAACACAAGCAGUAGUCGGUUCUGAUCAUUUUCCAUUACAUGUUAAUCAAAAGCAUUCAAUGAUGUGUCUGAACAUUAAGAAGCCAUAAAACACGACAUAAACGAGGUCAACUACCUGCAGACUGACUCCUUCAUCUGAAUUUCUGAUGUAAAAGCCGGGGGGCAAAAACAACUACCGUAAUUUUCGGAGUAUAAGUCGCACCAGCCAUAAAAUGCCCAGAAAAGUGAAAAAAAAAAACAUAUAUAUGUAUAUGUCGCUCCUGAGUACAAGUCGCCCCCCCACCCAAACUAUGAAAAAAACCGCGACUUAUAGUCCGAAAAUUACGGUAGUUACUCUUCCCCGUUCUUUGGUUGCUUCUGUGCAUAUUUAUUAUAGAGCGAAUUGUAAUUACACAGACAGAUAUUUGAUUAUCAGGAGCACACAAAAGACCAGUCUGAGGUCUUACAGUUCGAAAAACAGAGUAGGUAACAUUUAUUGUAUUUUUAACACUUGUAGUUUUACUGUUUUUAUUUUUAGUCAAUGGGCUGGCUCAAGUGUUCAGAAUAUGUAGAUAUCGGCUUUAAUUAGGUAUAUUGACUUGCAGUUUAACUUCAUUGUUAACACAAUUCCCCUGCACGUCUGAUGUGCUCAGGUUGCUAGGAGACAGAGCAAUGCUUUUCACAGUAUUCUUACUUAUGAGUUUAAAACAUGCCUCGGAAAAUGUCAGGAGAGAUAUCAUAAUAACAAUUAAUUCAAAGCACAGUUCAUUUCCAAUGUUACACAAAACACAAACUGAAUUUGCCAGUUUUACUUCAACAAACAUUCAAUGUGAAAGUUGAGUCUUCAGCACAUUGACCACAGCAGAUUAUGCAGUUUGACAUUAUUAAA